rnacentral:rRNA from 1 species
UCAACGCUGGCGGCGUGCCUAACACAUGCAAAGUCGAACGAGAAAGGGAGACGUUCCGGUCUCUGAGUACGAAUGACGGCACGGGUANAGUAACACGUUGACUAACCUACCCUUGAGGUAGGGGAAAUUAACGUUACGGGAAACCGAGGACUAAACUACCGCAAUAACUACCCGACGGGUACAAAGGAGCAAUUCGCUUGAGGAGGGGUCGCGGCCGAUUAGUUAGUUGGCGGGGUAAUGGCCCCACCAAGACGGUGAUCGGUAUCCGGCCUGAGAGGGCGCACGGACACACUGGAACUGAAACACGGUCCAGACUCCUACGGGAGGCAGCAGUGGGGAAUUUUGCGCAAUGGGGGAAACCCUGACGCAGCAACGCCGCGUGGAGGAUGAAGUCUCUUGGGACGUAAACUCCUUUCGAUCGGGACGAUUAUGACGGUACCGGAAGAAGAAGCCCCGGCUAACUUCGUG